AAUCGCGGCCACUAAUUCCAACCGUGGCAGCCUAUUAUGCCAGGCCUACAAAAGUCUUCAGGAACAUGACUUUCUUAUUCUUAAUACCCCAAAACAGCUAGGGUUUAUUCCUUUCAAGGAGAUACUAAUUCAAGAUCAUUCCCCCAAUGCUCAAGAUCAUCUUCAAGAACUCAAGAAGUGAAGAAUAAGUCUUUCUUCAAGAAGAUUCUAAAGAGUUGGCUAUGCGAGGUUGUUGUGAGAAGACUUGUGAAAUUGUUUCGAGGUGAGUUGAGGUUUUUUCCCUAAGUUAAGGGAUAAAUUAUAAUGUGCAUCUUAAAU